ACKGCUCAGUAACACGUGGCUAACCUGCCCUCGAGACAGAUACAACCCCGGGAAACUGGGGCUAAUAUCCGAUAGGCGAAGAGCUCUGGAAUGAGCCUUCACUAAAAAGGCGGCUAGACUAUGCUUCUAGUCGUUGCUCGAGGAUGGGGCCGCGACCGAUCAGGUUGUUGGUGAGGUAACGGCUCACCAAGCCUAUAACCGGUGCGGGCCGUGGGAGCGGGAGCCCGGAGAUGGGCACUGAGACAAGGGCCCAGGCCCUACGGGGCGCAGCAGUCGCGCAAACUUUGCAAUACACGAAAGUGUGACAGGGCUAUCCCGAGUGCCGUCCGCUGAGGAUGGCUUUUACCUAGUCUAGAACGCUGGGGGAAUAAGGAGAGGGCAAGUCUGGUGUCAGCCGCCGCGGUAAUACCAGCUCUCCGAGUGGUGUGGAUGUUUAUUGGGCCUAAAGCAUCCGUAGCUGGCCAAGCAAGUCCCUUGUUAAACCCACCGAAUUAAUCGUUGGAUUGCGGGGGAUACUGCUCGGCUAGGGGACGAGAGAGGCAGACGGUAUUUUCGGGGUAGGGGUGAAAUCCUAUAAUCCCGGGAAGACCACCAGUGGCGAAGGCUGUCUGCUAGAACGCGCCCGACGGUGAGGGAUGAAAGCUGGGGGAGCGAACCGGAUUAGAUACCCGGGUAGUCCCAGCUGUAAACGAUGCAGGCUAGGUGUUUGGGCGGCCACGUGCCGCUCUAGUGCCGCAGGGAAGCUGUUAAGCCUGCCGCCUGGGGAGUACGGUCGCAAGAUUGAAACUUAAAGGAAUUGGCGGGGGAGCAC
rnacentral:rRNA from 1 species